CGACCCCCGGGCAGGCGGGACUACCCGCUGAGUUUAAGCAUA
rnacentral:rRNA from 1 species